AACGAACGCUGGCGGCAUGCCUAACACAUGCAAGUCGAACGAGACCUUCGGGUCUAGUGGCGCACGGUUGCGUACCGCGUGGGAAUCUGCCCUUGGGUACGGGAUAACAGAUGGAAACGACUGCUAAUACCGGAUGAUGACGUACGUCCAAAGAUUUAUCGGCCAAGGAUGGGCCCGCGUAGGAUUAACUAGUUGGUGAGGUAAAGGCUCACCAAGGCUACGAUCCUUAGCUGGUCUGAGAGGAUGACCAGCCACACUGGGACUGAGACACGGCCCAGACUCCUACGGGAGGCAGCAGGGGGGAAUAUUGGACGAUGGGCGAAAGACUGAUGUAGCCAGGCCGCGUGAGUGAUGAAGGCCUUAGGGAUGUAAAGCUCUUUUAACCGGGAUGAUAAUGACAGUACCGGGAGAAUAAGCUACGGCUAACUCCGUG
rnacentral:rRNA from 1 species